rnacentral:rRNA from 1 species
UACGUACGAGGCGAGCGUUAUCCGGAAUUACUGGGCGUAAAGCGCGCGCAGGCGGCUAUCCAAGUCAGUGGUGAAAGCCCGGAGCUCAACUCCGGAACUGCCAUUGAAACUGUUUAGCUUGAGGAUGAGAGAGGUGAGUGGAAUUCCCAGUGUAGAGGUGAAAUUCGUAGAUAUUGGGAAGAACACCGGUGGCGAAGGCGGCUCACUGGCUCAUUACUGACGCUCAGGCGCGAUAGCGUGGGGAUCAAACAGG